UAAGAACUCCCAGCGUUCCUCCAGAUCCCUCUUGCUGACUUGUGCCGAGGCUGAGGCCUGGCUGGCUCUGCUAGCUAGUGCCACCCGCUGCUGAUUCCUGUUUGCUGUACCGACUCUACCGUACUGGACUGCUGGUGUAUCUGUGAAGUGUUUGCGAGUGGAUCACGCUGCUGCUGCUGCUGCUAACCUGGGAACUGAACUACUGAUUUUCCGACAACACAGAUGGAAGUUGCUCCAAAGAGCCAUUUCUAAACAGGUGUGAAAUAUCAGACUCUCAUGAGGAGACUUUGGGAUCUGGAACCUAGGAAGUUUUGAGCCGGUAUCACACGUGCGGACACCCCAGCCUCGGCCAUCAUUAGUGCGGAAGAUGCAGAGAUCGUAGCGGAUGCCUUUCUGGACUACACGGUUUGGGCAGUCAUAGCCACAGCAACAGCGGGAGUUGCACUCGUAGAUGGGCUGCCCAGCUUUCAGUCGCACCUGGCCUUGGUCAUUGUAGGCAAACUUGUGCAGGGAUGCUCCAGGGCAACAGCCUCCAGUGGGUGCCAACAGACAGUCCUGGCACUCACAGCCAACAGCUACCUGGUUGAGGGUGAUGCCCUCACCAACUCGAUACUCAUUGAUAUAGACAAAGGACCUUGGAGGGCCAUCCAGGUCUACCUCAUUCUCCACGGUGAUCCGCCCCAGGUGGCUGCGCUUGGCAUUGAGCUCUUGUUCCCAACGCUGAAGUGCCCGCCUCUGCUUGGCCUUCUGCACCAGCUAACAACAUUCGGGCCUAACCGGCCUCGCGAGAAGAGAGCGCGC
ensembl:antisense Gm14820 predicted gene 14820